CCUACGGGAGGCAGCAGUAAGGAAUAUUGGUCAAUGGAGGCAACUCUGAACCAGCCAUGCCGCGUGCAGGAAGAAGGCCCUAUGGGUCGUAAACUGCUUUUGUACCAGAGAAAACCACAGUACGUGUACUGUGUUGAUAGUAUGGUAAGAAUAAGCAUCGGCUAACUUCGUGCCAGCAGCCGCGGUAAGACGAAGGAUGCAAGCGUUAUCCGGAUUCAUUGGGUUUAAAGGGUGCGUAGGCGGACUGAUAAGUCAGUGGUGAAAUCUCUCAGCUUAACUGAGAAACUGCCAUUGAUACUGUUAGUCUAGAGUAUAGAUGACGUUGGCGGAAUAUGACAUGUAGUGGUGAAAUACUUAGAUAUGUCAUAGAACACCGAUUGCGAAGGCAGCUAACGAAACUAUAACUGACGCUGAGGCACGAAAGUGCGGGGAUCAAACAGGAUUAGAUACCCUGGUAGUCCGCACCGUAAACGAUGAUUACUCGUUGUUGGCAAUAUGACCGUCAGCGACCAAGCGAAAGCGAANAAGUAANACACCGCGGAGGUACGCCGGCGACGGAGAAACGUUAAAGUAAGUUAGUACGGACGUUAGAGAGNGCGACGGACGACGACGAGGGAGGAGG
rnacentral:rRNA from 1 species